GAUGAACGCUGGCGGCGUGCCUAAUACAUGCAAGUCGAGCGAACGGACGAGAAGCUUGCUUUUCUGAUGUUAGCGGCGGACGGGUGAGUAACACGUGGAUAACCUACCUAUAAGACUGGGAUAACUUCGGGAAACCGGAGCUAAUACCGGAUAAUAUUUUGAACCGCAUGGUUCAAAAGUGAAAGACGGUCUUGCUGUCACUUAUAGAUGGAUCCGCGCUGCAUUAGCUAGUUGGUAAGGUAACGGCUUACCAAGGCAACGAUGCAUAGCCGACCUGAGAGGGUGAUCGGCCACACUGGAACUGAGACACGGUCCAGACUCCUACGGGAGGCAGCAGUAGGGAAUCUUCCGCAAUGGGCGAAAGCCUGACGGAGCAGCGCCGCGUGAGUGAUGAAGGUCUUCGGAUCGUAAAACUCUGUUAUUAGGGAAGAACAUAUGUGUAAGUAACUGUGCACAUCUUGACGGUACCUAACCAGAAAGCCACGGCUAACUACGUG
rnacentral:rRNA from 1 species